rnacentral:rRNA from 1 species
CAGUAGCCGCGGUAAUACGUAGGUGGCAAGCGUUGUCCGGAAUUAUUGGGCGUAAAGGGCUCGCAGGCGGUUUCUUAAGUCCGAUGUGAAAGCCCCCGGCUCAACCGGGGAGGGUCAUUGGAAACUGGGAAACUUGAGUGCAGAAGAGGAGAGUGGAAUUCCACGUGUAGCGGUGAAAUGCGUAGAGAUGUGGAGGAACACCAGUGGCGAAGGCGACUCUCUGGUCUGUAACUGACGCUGAGGAGCGAAAGCGUGGGGAGCGAACAGGAUUAGAUACCCCUGUAGUCCCUGUCUCUUAUAC